AUGGACAUGGCAUUGAGGAGUACACCACAUCAGUCACUGGUUUUAUCAAUAAGUGCAUUGAGGGAACGUGUGACUGUACGUACACACCCCAACCAGAAGCCAUGGAUUACAGGCAACAUUCGCACUGAGCUAAAGGGUAGAGCUGCCGCUUUCAAGGUGCGGGACUCACAUACAGACACAUACAGACACACCCACAUACAGACACAUACAGACACACCCACAUACAGACACAUACAGACACACCCACAUACAGACACAUACAGACACAUAAAGAAACACCCACAUACAGACACACCCACACACAGACACAUACAGACACAUACAGACACAUGCAGACACAUACAGGCACAUACAGACACAUACAGACACACCCACAUACAGACACAUACAGACACACCCACAUACAGACACAUACAGACACACCCACAUACAGACACAUACAGACACACCCACAUACAGACACAUACAGACACAUACAGAAACACCCACAUACAGACACACCCACACACAGACACAUACAGACACAUACAGACACAUGCAGACACAUACAGGCACAUACAGACACAUACAGACACAUACAGAAACACCCACAUACAGACACAUACAGACACAUACAGAAACACCCACAUACAGACACAUACAGACACACCCACAUACAGACACAUACAGACACACCUACAUACAGACACAUACAGAAACACCCACAUACAGACACAUACAGACACAUACAGACACGCCCACAUACAGACACAUACAGACACACCCACAUACAGACACAUACAGACACACCUACAUACAGACACAUACAGAAACACCCACAUACAGACACAUACAGACACAUACAGAAACACCCACAUACAGACACAUACAGACACAUACAGACACGCCCACAUACAGUCACAUACAGACACACCCACAUACAGACACAUACAGACACACCUACAUACAGACACAUACAGAAACACCCACAUACAGACACAUACAGACACAUACAGACACGCCCACAUACAGACACAUACAGACACACCCACAUACAGACACAUACAGACACACUCACAUACAGACACAUACAGGCACCUACAGACACACUAA
rnacentral:lncRNA from 1 species